GGCACCUUGCGGCGUGCCUUAUACAUGCAGUCGAACGAACUCUGGUAUUGAUUGGUGCUUGCAUCAUGAUUUACAUUUGAGUGAGUGGCGAACUGGUGAGUAACACGUGGGAAACCUGCCCAGAAGCGGGGGAUAACACCUGGAAACAGAUGCUAAUACCGCAUAACAACUUGGACCGCAUGGUCCGAGUUUGAAAGAUGGCUUCGGCUAUCACUUUUGGAUGGUCCCGCGGCGUAUUAGCUAGAUGGUGGGGUAACGGCUCACCAUGGCAAUGAUACGUAGCCGACCUGAGAGGGUAAUCGGCCACAUUGGGACUGAGACACGGCCCAAACUCCUACGGGAGGCAGCAGUAGGGAAUCUUCCACAAUGGACGAAAGUCUGAUGGAGCAACGCCGCGUGAGUGAAGAAGGGUUUCGGCUCGUAAAACUCUGUUGUUAAAGAAGAACAUAUCUGAGAGUAACUGUUCAGGUAUUGACGGUAUUUAACCAGAAAGCCACGGCUAACUACGUGCCAGCAGCCGCGGUAAUACGUAGGUGGCAAGCGUUGUCCGGAUUUAUUGGGCGUAAAGCGAGCGCAGGCGGUUUUUUAAGUCUGAUGUGAAAGCCUUCGGCUCAACCGAAGAAGUGCAUCGGAAACUGGGAAACUUGAGUGCAGAAGAGGACAGUGGAACUCCAUGUGUAGCGGUGAAAUGCGUAGAUAUAUGGAAGAACACCAGUGGCGAAGGCGGCUGUCUGGUCUGUAACUGACGCUGAGGCUCGAAAGUAUGGGUAGCAAACAGGAUUAGAUACCCUGGUAGUCCAUACCGUAAACGAUGAAUGCUAAGUGUUGGAGGGUUUCCGCCCUUCAGUGCUGCAGCUAACGCAUUAAGCAUUCCGCCUGGGGAGUACGGCCGCAAGGCUGAAACUCAAAGGAAUUGACGGGGGCCCGCACAAGCGGUGGAGCAUGUGGGUUUAAUUCGAAGCUACGCGAAGAACCUUACCAGGUCUUGACAUACUAUGCAAAUCUAGAGAUUAGACGUUCCCUUCGGGGACAUGGAUACAGGUGGUGCAUGUGUCGUCAGCUCGUGUCGUGAGAUGGUGGUAGUCCGCACGAGCGCACCCUAUAUCAGUGCAGCAUAGUGGGCACUCUGGUGGAGAACUGCCG
rnacentral:rRNA from 1 species